rnacentral:rRNA from 1 species
GACGACGCUGGCGGCGUGCUUAAAACAUGCAAGUCGAACGGACUUCUCAUGAAGCUUGCGAUUGAGAAGUUAGUGGCGGACGGGUGAGUAACGCGUGGGCAACCUGCCCCUGAGCCCGGGAUAACAGUUCGAAAGGACUGCUAAGACCGGAUAUACUUGCGGGGAAGCAUUUCACUGCAAGGAAAGGGAACGCUCAGGGAUGGGCCCGCGUCCCAUUAGCUAGUUGGUGAGGUAACGGCCCACCAAGGCGACGAUGGGUAGCCGGCCUGAGAGGGUGAACGGCCACACUGGGACUGAGACACGGCCCAGACUCCUACGGGAGGCAGCAGUUGGGAAUCUUCGGCAAUGGGCGCAAGCCUGACCGAGCAACGCCGCGUGAGUGAUGAAGGUUUUCGGAUUGUAAAGCUCUGUCUUCCGGGACGAUAAUGACGGUACCGGAGGAGGAAGCCACGGCUAACUACGUG